rnacentral:rRNA from 1 species
GAUGAACGCUGGCGGCGUGCUUAACACAUGCAAGUCGAACGGAAAGGCCAGUGCUUGCACUGGUGCUCGAGUGGCGAACGGGUGAGUAACACGUGGGUGAUCUGCCCUGCACUUUGGGAUAAGCCUGGGAAACUGGGUCUAAUACCAGAUAGGACCAUGCUUUGGAUGGUGUGGUGGAAAGUUUUUUCGGUGUGGGAUGAGCUUGCGGCCUAUCAGCUUGUUGGUGGGGUAAUGGCCUACCAAGGCGUCGACGGGUAGCCGGCCUGAGAGGGUGUACGGCCACAUUGGGACUGAGAUACGGCCCAGACUCCUACGGGAGGCAGCAGUGGGGAAUAUUGCACAAUGGGCGCAAGCCUGAUGCAGCGACGCCGCGUGGGGGAUGACGGCCUUCGGGUUGUAAACUCCUUUCGCAACUGACGAAGCUUUUUGUGACGGUAGGUUGAGAAGAAGCACCGGCUAACUACGUG